CUGACGUUGAGCUAUACGCCAUCACUGGCAUAAAAACACAUUGUUCUCUUCUUUAAAUCCCCGAGAAAGACAAAAUAAAGGAAAAAUGAAAAUGGUGCCAAAAUUCCAGCUCCCAGGCUAGAACAGGCAAUCCUGCGACAGGGGUUCGCGCCUACAGCGGCAUGGCAUCAUCAUUUGCGGGCAAUUUUUUCAGUUAUACUAUGUUAUUGACAGGUGGCAUAUCAAGCCCAGUGAUUUUACAGACUCAGGUAAUUUGGGGCGCGGGAUGCAAGAUAGGAUCUAUGAUGAACAGUGUAUUCAUUCACCAAUGAAGCCGCUCUUCCACUGCUGAAAUACCAACUCUUUCGAGUGGGCACAAAAAAAGAGUGAAAAAGCUAAAUUGCAACGAUAUCAAUGUGCAAGUAUCAAUUCCUCCUGAG
rnacentral:sRNA from 1 species